rnacentral:rRNA from 1 species
CAGCACCUCAAGUGGUCAGGAUGAUUAUUGGGCCUAAAGCAUCCGUAGCCGGCUCUGUAAGUUUUCAGUUAAAUCUGUACGCUCAACGUACAGGCUGCCGGGAAUACUGCAGCGCUAGGGAGUGGGAGAGGUAGACGGUACUCGGUAGGAAGGGGUAAAAUCCUUUGAUCUAUUGAUGACCACCUGUGGCGAAGGCGGUCUACCAGAACACGUCCGACGGUGAGGGAUGAAAGCUAGGGGAGCAAACCGGAUUAGAUACCCGAGUAGUCC